GGAACCAGCCCUCCCUGGGCAGGUCACGUUGGGAGCCCUGGUGAGCCGGUGUGGCCGGCAGGUAGGACCCUGGCACUCCGCCCGAGGUGCAUGACUGUGGGAGCCAUCGUCCCGGCCAUUGUUGACAUGAGAGUCUCAAAUCCAACGCUCACAUUCUACAGGGGACAGGGGGAGGUCAAGCAACCUCUUGAAGGCCACACAGGCUUGCUGGCCCAGGGCCACCGCACUGGGGGAUCCCCUGAGGGCGCCAGUGCUCCCCGACACGCCCCAGGAGCGCGAGCAGAGGCCGCUGUGGCUCCCCCACUCAGCCCGGGCAGGGGCCAGCGCUUCCUCUGUGUCUCUGGAAGGAAACUGGCUUCUCGGGUGACCCUGUGGCCAGAGGUGGCACAGCAGGGCCAGGCCCAGCCGGAUCUGGGAGCCAGGGCUCUUCCCUGCCCGGGCCACCUCCUCGGCAGUAGGCCCCUGGCCGGGAGGCCCUGAGGUUCCCCGGCCACCCCGGCUCUGUGGGUCUGCGCCUUUCCACGCCAGGAACCACCCGGAAAGGCGGGUUAGGCCAGGAGCAGAGCCUGGCGCUGCGAAGUGGCUCAGAUGUGGUGUGUGGCAGGGCCCUGGCCCAUGUGCUGCCGAGGCGAGGUGACAGCUCCUGGGCCGGGAGUCACUCAGAGCAGUCACCGCGGGAGGGGGCUGCCCAGUCCUCAGCCUGGCGGGCGGCCAGCCGCUCCUGCUCCCACCUCGCUGCCCUCGGGGCUGCUCUGGCCUGGCCAGCCCGGCUCCCCUGCCCCAGAGUCAAUAUUGACGCGCAGCCGCCUGCCACCCAGGAGGGCCGAGGGCGCUGGCACGGAGAAGCACACGGCUCCCGGGUUUCGGCUCAAUUGCUGCGAGGAGAGAUGAGAAAUUGCCUUCCUGACCCAAAACUGGAGUUCACAGCUGCACUUCAUUAGGAUUUCUCCAGGAGGCCCUGGGAGGCCGGCCGGCUCACCUGUUAGCAGCAGCUGCGCGUUCUGCAUUAACUCAGCCAUGGAGGGAGAGGAGGAAGCAGCCACAGGACUGGGCUGGCUGUCCCUGGAACAUUCCAGAAGCUGCCUCUUGCGCCACUGAAACGCGCCCCAUCCACGCCGUCAUUUUAAAAGCACGGGACCCUGCCGCAGAGUUCUCCCGGGAACUGGGAGACGGAGGGCUUUUGGAAAGAUCUGGAAGGAUGGCUGAAUCCCAGAAUCCUUGAGGUGGGGCCCAGCCACCUCCCAAAGCUCCUGAGGCAGCACAGCAGGGCGCCGCUCAGCUGGGGUGUCAUCUGCCCUGGAAGUCUGCGUGUUCUUUCCCAGGAGAGUCCGGGCAGGUGGCCAGCAGAGGGGGAGGUGGCCGGCCACCAGACUGCCUGGCCCUGCCCCCAGACUUGCUCCCCUCCACGUUAAGUUUGCGGUCAUGGCCCCUAAUGUGAGUCCCAGCACAGGCCCCACGUGUGCGACGGCGCCCCGAGUCUGCCCUGCAGGAUGAAGCAGACCAGGCUGCUGUGUGAACACAGAAGCUGCGUGGCCCUGGGCAAGUCACUUGGGCUCUCUGGGCCUUGGGUGGAAGCAGGGUUUGGGCUCAGUGUCUGUGGCUGGAGACAGGGUUCUGGAGGAGCGAGGCCUGCAGGGCCUCGGCGGCCUCAUCUGGGACUUGGGGAGAUGCACCAACCUGCUGUGAGGGCGGCCGUGAGGGCGAGGUCCCCAGGGAGAGUGACGGGGACGGCUGGCAUCACCAGCACCAGAAGCGCCAUCCUGGGUCUUCUGCCCUCGGGGUCACCUGCCAAGGUCAGGGGUGAGUCCGGAACUGCAGAGCCCAGGUUCUUGGCCAACCCAGGCUCGUGGGCAUCCUCCACGCUGCUGGGACCUCGGGAUGGCCAGAGCCGAGGGGUCCCCAGGAGGAGCCCAGGCCACGAGGGCUGGAGGGGGCCUCCCACGAGGGCUGGACAGAGCAGGCCAGGAGGGCCCUGGCGCGGGGCC